UACGGGGGGGGCAAGCGUUGUUCGGAAUUACUGGGCGUAAAGGGCUCGUAGGCGGCCAACUAAGUCAGACGUGAAAUCCCUACGGCUUAACCGGGGAACUGCGUCUGAUUAACUGGAUGGCUUGAAUCCGGGAGAGGGAUGCGGAAUUCCAGGUGUAGGCAGGUGAAAUGCGUAGAAUAUCUGGAGGAACACCGGUGGCGAAGGCGGCAUCCUGGACCGGCAUUGACGCUGAGGCAGCAAAAGC
rnacentral:rRNA from 1 species